ACUCCUACGGGAGGCAGCAGUGGGGAAUUUUGGACAAUGGGGGCAACCCUGAUCCAGCCAUUCCGCGUGAGUGAAGAAGGCCUUCGGGUUGUAAAGCUCUUUUGUCCGGAACGAAACGGUGAGCGUGAGUAUCGCUCGCUACUGACGGUACCGGAAGAAUAAGCACCGGCUAACUACGUGCCAGCAGCCGCGGUAAUACGUAGGGUGCGAGCGUUAAUCGGAAUUACUGGGCGUAAAGCGUGCGCAGGCGGUUUUGUAAGCCAGAUGUGAAAUCCCCGGGCUCAACCUGGGAAUGGCAUUUGGGACUGCAAGGCUGGAGUGUGGCAGAGGAGACUGGAAUUCCCGGUGUAGCAGUGAAAUGCGUAGAUAUCGGGAGGAAUACCGAUGGCGAAGGCAGGUCUCUGGGCUGACACUGACGCUCAUGCACGAAAGCGUGGGGAGCAAACAGGAUUAGAUACCCUGGUAGUCCACGCCCUAAACGAUGUCGACUGGUUGUUGGGGGUUUGACACUCUCAGUAACGAAGCUAACGCGUGAAGUCGACCGCCUGGGGAGUACGGCCGCAAGGUUAAAACUCAAAGGAAUUGACGGGGACCCGCACAAGCGGUGGAUUAUGUGGAUUAAUUCGAUGCAACGCGAAAAACCUUACCUACCCUUGACAUGUCAGGAGCCUCGCAGAGAUGUGAGGGUGCCCGAAGGGGAACCUGGAGACAGGUGCUGCAUGGCUGUCGUCAGCUCGUGUCGUGAGAUGUUGGGUUAAGUCCCGCAACGAGCGCAACCCUUGUCAUUAGUUGCCAGCAUUCA
rnacentral:rRNA from 1 species